rnacentral:misc_RNA from 1 species
GACUCCAAAACAUAUUGAUAGUGAAGAUGAUGAAUCAGAGUUUGGAUCCUUGAGUGACAGUUACGGUAAUAAAGCUGUCCAGGUUUCAGGCAGCAACAUUUUGAUAUGUUCAGAGAAUCAGCAGUGCACUGAUUUCAAGUAGACUGGAAUUCAGGUUAAGAAUCAGUUAUUUGAAAUACGAACCACUAAUGGUUUUUCAUCCAUUUGCAGAAGUUCACAGGUUGCAUAGCACUGCAGCAUCACUUGUUGCUUCUGAAAGUUUUGAUGGAAACUGGUUGAUCAGAUAUGAGAGCGAUGCAAUUUUGAAAAGAUGCACCAAACAAGUGGAGCAGCCAAUGAGGAGAUUUUUGCUGUCCUUAGGAGAAGAAUUUGAGUAAUGUUCUAAAGUUCCCCCUGUUGCCCAUCGAGUGUUCUUCAAUCAUGCAGCUUCUGUGCCACAAUGGUCUCAUACUUUGUGCAAAAACUUGAAUGAAGGAAAACA